UUAGUAGUACACUACU
rnacentral:misc_RNA from 1 species